UAACGGUAUUUGCGAACAGGUGCCUUCGUACCCCCAGAUGGGUCGAGGUGAAAAGGGAAGUCGGUGCAAGUCCGGCGCGGUCCCGCCACUGUAAAACAGGUGUACCACUAUGAAUGGUACGCCCGUAAGCCAGGAGACCUGCCUGUUUGCUUGUGUGCUG
rnacentral:ncRNA from 1 species